UACGUAGGGGGCAAGCGUUGUCCGGAAUCAUUGGGCGUAAAGCGCGUGUAGGCGGCUCGGUAAGUCCGCUCUGAAAGUCCAGGGCUCAACCCUGGGAUGCGGGUGGAUACUGCCGGGCUCGAGUCCGGAAGAGGCGAGUGGAAUUCCCGGUGUAGCAGUGAAAUGCGCAGAUAUCGGGAGGAACACCAAUGGCGAAGGCAGCUCGCUGGGACGUGACUGACGCUGAGACGCGAAAGCGUGGGGAGCAAACAGG
rnacentral:rRNA from 1 species